CUGGAAAGAUUAUUUUUUGCAACCAUUGUUCUUCAAUGACGGAGAACUUCAAGAAGCUAAAUGCCCAAAAAGAAUCACUCCUCAUGGAAAACACUAGAUUGAUCAAACAAAUACAAAUGUUAGAAACAAGACUCAGCCAGCAGAAUCCAGCUAGCAAAAUCGAUGCACAAACUCAGACUCCAGCUCAGAGUUCUCUAUCUCCUCAAAAAAUGGAUGAGAAGGGUGUGCAUUUCCCACUAAAUGCUCAGAAAUCCACUGUACCAGGUGUUGGUACAGCUAGUCCGGUU
rnacentral:lncRNA from 1 species